AUGGUUUCUCAGCCUUUUAGCUAGGAUCAAGUGCACUAACCGUUCUUAUCAGCUUACUAUUUGAUACAUCCUCCAUCCAAGAACAGUAUACUAAACCAACAAGGGUGCACAUACAGCAAAUGGGCACGUGAAAAUAA
ensembl:snRNA U2 U2 spliceosomal RNA